GGGUUGUGAGGUUAAGCGACUAAGCGUACACGGUGGAUGCCCUGGCAGUCAGAGGCGAUGAAGGACGUGCUAAUCUGCGAUAAGCGUCGGUAAGGUGAUAUGAACCGUUAUAACCGGCGAUUUCCGAAUGGGGAAACCCAGUGUGAUUCGUCACACUAUCAUUAACUGAAUCCAUAGGUUAAUGAGGCGAACCGGGGGAACUGAAACAUCUAAGUACCCCGAGGAAAAGAAAUCAACCGAGAUUCCCCCAGUAGCGGCGAGCGAACGGGGAGGAGCCCAGAGCCUGAAUCAGUGUGUGUGUUAGUGGAAGCGUCUGGAAAGGCGCGCGAUACAGGGUGACAGCCCCGUACACAAAAAUGCACAUAUUGUGAGCUCGAUGAGUAGGGCGGGACACGUGGUAUCCUGUCUGAAUAUGGGGGGACCAUCCUCCAAGGCUAAAUACUCCUGACUGACCGAUAGUGAACCAGUACCGUGAGGGAAAGGCGAAAAGAACCCCGGCGAGGGGAGUGAAAAAGAACCUGAAACCGUGUACGUACAAGCAGUGGGAGCACGCUUAGGCGUGUGACUGCGUACCUUUUGUAUAAUGGGUCAGCGACUUAUAUUCUGUAGCAAGGUUAACCGAAUAGGGGAGCCGAAGGGAAACCGAGUCUUAACUGGGCGUUAAGUUGCAGGGUAUAGACCCGAAACCCGGUGAUCUAGCCAUGGGCAGGUUGAAGGUUGGGUAACACUAACUGGAGGACCGAACCGACUAAUGUUGAAAAAUUAGCGGAUGACUUGUGGCUGGGGGUGAAAGGCCAAUCAAACCGGGAGAUAGCUGGUUCUCCCCGAAAGCUAUUUAGGUAGCGCCUCGUGAAUUCAUCUCCGGGGGUAGAGCACUGUUUCGGCAAGGGGGUCAUCCCGACUUACCAACCCGAUGCAAACUGCGAAUACCGGAGAAUGUUAUCACGGGAGACACACGGCGGGUGCUAACGUCCGUCGUGAAGAGGGAAACAACCCAGACCGCCAGCUAAGGUCCCAAAGUCAUGGUUAAGUGGGAAACGAUGUGGGAAGGCCCAGACAGCCAGGAUGUUGGCUUAGAAGCAGCCAUCAUUUAAAGAAAGCGUAAUAGCUCACUGGUCGAGUCGGCCUGCGCGGAAGAUGUAACGGGGCUAAACCAUGCACCGAAGCUGCGGCAGCGACGCUGAUGCGUUGUUGGGUAGGGGAGCGUUCUGUAAGCCUGCGAAGGUGUGCUGUGAGGCAUGCUGGAGGUAUCAGAAGUGCGAAUGCUGACAUAAGUAACGAUAAAGCGGGUGAAAAGCCCGCUCGCCGGAAGACCAAGGGUUCCUGUCCAACGUUAAUCGGGGCAGGGUGAGUCGACCCCUAAGGCGAGGCCGAAAGGCGUAGUCGAUGGGAAACAGGUUAAUAUUCCUGUACUUGGUGUUACUGCGAAGGGGGGACGGAGAAGGCUAUGUUGGCCGGGCGACGGUUGUCCCGGUUUAAGCGUGUAGGCUGGUUUUCCAGGCAAAUCCGGAAAAUCAAGGCUGAGGCGUGAUGACGAGGCACUACGGUGCUGAAGCAACAAAUGCCCUGCUUCCAGGAAAAGCCUCUAAGCAUCAGGUAACAUCAAAUCGUACCCCAAACCGACACAGGUGGUCAGGUAGAGAAUACCAAGGCGCUUGAGAGAACUCGGGUGAAGGAACUAGGCAAAAUGGUGCCGUAACUUCGGGAGAAGGCACGCUGAUAUGUAGGUGAAGUCCCUUGCGGAUGGAGCUGAAAUCAGUCGAAGAUACCAGCUGGCUGCAACUGUUUAUUAAAAACACAGCACUGUGCAAACACGAAAGUGGACGUAUACGGUGUGACGCCUGCCCGGUGCCGGAAGGUUAAUUGAUGGGGUCAGCGCAAGCGAAGCUCUUGAUCGAAGCCCCGGUAAACGGCGGCCGUAACUAUAACGGUCCUAAGGUAGCGAAAUUCCUUGUCGGGUAAGUUCCGACCUGCACGAAUGGCGUAAUGAUGGCCAGGCUGUCUCCACCCGAGACUCAGUGAAAUUGAACUCGCUGUGAAGAUGCAGUGUACCCGCGGCAAGACGGAAAGACCCCGUGAACCUUUACUAUAGCUUGACACUGAACAUUGAGCCUUGAUGUGUAGGAUAGGUGGGAGGCUUUGAAGUGUGGACGCCAGUCUGCAUGGAGCCGACCUUGAAAUACCACCCUUUAAUGUUUGAUGUUCUAACGUUGACCCCUAAUCGGGGUUGCGGACAGUGUCUGGUGGGUAGUUUGACUGGGGCGGUCUCCUCCUAAAGAGUAACGGAGGAGCACGAAGGUUGGCUAAUCCUGGUCGGACAUCAGGAGGUUAGUGCAAUGGCAUAAGCCAGCUUGACUGCGAGCGUGACGGCGCGAGCAGGUGCGAAAGCAGGUCAUAGUGAUCCGGUGGUUCUGAAUGGAAGGGCCAUCGCUCAACGGAUAAAAGGUACUCCGGGGAUAACAGGCUGAUACCGCCCAAGAGUUCAUAUCGACGGCGGUGUUUGGCACCUCGAUGUCGGCUCAUCACAUCCUGGGGCUGAAGUAGGUCCCAAGGGUAUGGCUGUUCGCCAUUUAAAGUGGUACGCGAGCUGGGUUUAGAACGUCGUGAGACAGUUCGGUCCCUAUCUGCCGUGGGCGCUGGAGAACUGAGGGGGGCUGCUCCUAGUACGAGAGGACCGGAGUGGACGCAUCACUGGUGUUCGGGUUGUCAUGCCAAUGGCACUGCCCGGUAGCUAAAUGCGGAAGAGAUAAGUGCUGAAAGCAUCUAAGCACGAAACUUGCCCCGAGAUGAGUUCUCCCUGACUCCUUGAGAGUCCUGAAGGAACGUUGAAGACGACGACGUUGAUAGGCCGGGUGUGUAAGCGCAGCGAUGCGUUGAGCUAACCGGUACUAAUGAACCGUGAGGCUUAACCUUACAACGCCGAAGCUGUU
rnacentral:rRNA from 1 species